AGGAGCCGAAUGAAACCAAAGUUUCAUGUUCGGUUUUGAAUUAGAGACGUUAAAGAUGAUGAAUCAACGUCGACUAUAAC
rfam:Ricinus communis cultivar Hale chloroplast, complete genome.